AAAUAAUAAACCUCGUCGCAUCAAAUUCUUUCAAAAUUCUAAUCACUAACAAAUACUUAAUUUGAAAACAUUUUCUCAAUAAACAAACAAGCAAACAAACAGAAAAAGCUAAAUCUUUCUACAAGGCUAUCAACAGGCUCACGAAAAAUGUACCUCAACCAUCUCAACAUUUCCAGCGGUUUCAAACAAGCCAGCAAGCUGAGCACUGUCAACGCUAAAAGGAAGGUUACCCACAAAAAGUUUCAAGUCGGGGGAGAAAUUCGAACCGUCUUCAUCGCUCAAAAGGUCCUCUUCCUGGUCAAACUCGGACGAAACGGCUACGUUUCUGACGAAACGAGAGGGGGAAGAGGGCAAGGGUUGAAAAGAAUGGAUGAAAGAAGAGGAUAUCGAGAUGGGCUUCGCUAGAAGUUUGUGAGAAGAGGAGGAAGAUAAGAGAGAAAAUGAAGUGGGUUUU
rnacentral:lncRNA from 1 species